rnacentral:lncRNA from 1 species
AUGUUUUUAUUCUUUUUUUUUUUUUCUCCUUCCUGGAAACAGUGGAGCUCUAUUUACAUCAGAAGGGACAUCAAGUACCACAACAAUCACUAAAAAUGAAAUCCUACAGCUCAGCCUGCCAACCAGCAUGGAAAGUGUACAGCUGUAAGUGAGCUUCACAAGGCAAGUCACGCACAAGGGAGGGAAGACAGCAAGAUGCCAAAAUAGCUUAUGGAUAGCAUGAGAAAGGGGGCUGACUGAGAACGGCAGGCGGCAAAACCUAAAAAGACUCACGAAAGAGAAAUCUUUGGCUUAGCUCUCUGGAAGCAGACAGAAAGAAGAAUGGAGAGGCUACAGUGGGUGUGCAAAGGCAGUAUCAAACCCAGAGGUACCAAAGGACAGAGAAUACAGUGGGAGAACAAAGAAGUAUGUUGGACAGUGAGUUCUGUCAAUGGAUUACUGAAAGCAAUUUUGCAACAUAGGGAUCAAAGACUGCAAAUUGUUUCUGCUUUAUUAAUAUUUGGUGAAUUAAACACUGAGGGAAAUGAAUUGGAGAAUAUUAAAAAAGCCAUGAAUCUAAAUUUUGUAUUCUAAUUAGGUGGAAUUUAUCCUUUUGGCAAAGAAUACGACUUAUCUGCUGUUUGGACUGACU